GUUGUCGGGUAUCCCACAUGUCCAGCGCACACCCGUCACCGAGUGCAGCGCUGUGCGGCGUGAAGGACUCCUCCAGUGCUCGGUGCACGCCCCUGACGAGUACAGAAGGCGUCGCUCGAUGCCGUGCUCCGUUGCCGCGCCCGGUACCGUACACUGUCGUCACGAACUUGUUCAGGGCGAUCCCCUCGGCGAGUACGCUGUCCGCGGCAGACGCAAGCGAAGGCUUCUGCAUUACGCAGAGGAUCUGUGAAACGCGGUGCUGUCCGUGAUAGAGCACGGAGCAGACGGAAGCUUCACACUCGAGAAGUCGUCGACAUACUCCGAGCCGUUUCCGAUCCCUGGUUGCAAAGCGGUGACACAGGCUCCGCUGGAAGCGAGUGCCGGGAGAGCUGGUAUCCGAGUCCGAGACCGAGCACCCAUGGACGGGCAGGAGCCGAGCACCCGUGGACGGGCAGGAGCCGAGCACCCAUGGACGGGCAGGAGCCGAGCACCCAUGGACGGGCAGGAGCCGAGCACCCGUGGACGGGCAGGAGCCGAGCACCCGUGGACGGGCAGGAGCCGAGCACCCAUGGACGGGCAGGAGCCGAGCACCCAUGGACGUCCGUGCCCUGUGGGGUACCGUGCUUGCGUCGAACGCCGUCUCAGCGGUGUUAGCAAGGAGCCGGGCGAUAUGUCUCCUCGGCCGAGUUCGACGCUCUGACUUGCGAAGUACGGUGAGCGAUCGGCUCGAGCUUGUGAGCAAGUCGUUAACGGACGGCGUCGACGAACGUUCCGAAAGCGUCCAGGUGCUUGAGGUGGCGCGCCCACUGGGUUGCCUCGGAAUAGCAAGAUCGAAAACCUGAAGAUUGGAUACUCGGAGCGGGCUGCAAGUGAAGAUAGAAGAAGAGAGGCGUCUAGCGCGUAUGCAUACAACGGUAGUAUCGAUUCGUUUACGAUGCCUUGUUCGCGGGUGUCCCGAAUCGUCUCGAUUCUGGUGACGUAACGAGUUGCAGCGGCACAUCGUUGAACGUGUCGCUCCGCGAGAAAGAAGAACCACCGACCUAGAAUCCUGAGAGUGUAUACGAAUCCGUAAGCAUUUUAUUGGUGCUCCAUGAAAGUCAGCGCUUUGCAUCUGAACAAGUUCAGAGGGAAAUCUAAAUGCAGGAACAGGGUGUGCAGUUCUUUUGUAGACUUAUAUCUGACGCGGGUGUCUGCAACUGCCAACGCAGGCAUUUACGUCCGAAGCUGUGGGUCUCAAUAUGGUUUUCCAGUAGCGAUGACUGCCAGGGUUGGUUUGCGGUGCAAACCAAGGUUCCUGAGCUUAACUUGAAUGCUUCUAGCGAGCGCACUGGUUUAUUGUUGCUCUCGCGAGAGGCUGGCGCGCCUUGUAUGAACCUCAAACGCUCUAUGUUUCCGACCAACGGCACUUGUCUCAGAACCUGCUGAUUACCUCGGCACCGCUUCCCGUACACAAGCCUUCAAAGCAC